UACGUAGGGUGCAAGCGUUGUCCGGAAUUAUUGGGCGUAAAGAGCUCGUAGGCGGUUUGUCGCGUCGACUGUGAAAACUGGGGGCUUAACUCUCAGCUUGCAGUUGAUACGGGCAGACUUGAGUUCGGUAGGGGAGACUGGAAUUCCUGGUGUAGCGGUGAAAUGCGCAGAUAUCAGGAGGAACACCGGUGGCGAAGGCGGGUCUCUGGGCCGAUACUGACGCUGAGGAGCGAAAGCGUGGGGAGCGAACAGG
rnacentral:rRNA from 1 species